GACGAACGCUGGCGGCGUGCCUAAUACAUGCAAGUAGAACGCACAGUUUAUACCGUAGCUUGCUACACCAUAGACUGUGAGUUGCGAACGGGUGAGUAACGCGUAGGUAACCUGCCUGGUAGCGGGGGAUAACUAUUGGAAACGAUAGCUAAUACCGCAUAAUAUUAAUUAUUGCAUGAUAAUUGAUUGAAAGAUGCAACUGCAUCACUACCAGAUGGACCUGCGUUGUAUUAGCUAGUAGGUGAGGUAACGGCUCACCUAGGCGACGAUACAUAGCCGACCUGAGAGGGUGAUCGGCCACACUGGGACUGAGACACGGCCCAGACUCCUACGGGAGGCAGCAGUAGGGAAUCUUCGGCAAUGGACGAAAGUCUGACCGAGCAACGCCGCGUGAGUGAAGAAGGUUUUCGGAUCGUAAAGCUCUGUUGUAAGAGAAGAACGGGUGUGAGAGUGG
rnacentral:rRNA from 1 species